UACGUAGGGGGCAAGCGUUAUCCGGAUUCACUGGGUGUAAAGGGAGCGUAGACGGCGACGCAAGUCUGGAGUGAAAGCCCGGGGCCCAACCCCGGGACUGCUCUGGAAACUGCGUCGCUGGAGUACGGGAGGGGCAGGCGGAAUUCCUGGUGUAGCGGUGAAAUGCGUAGAUAUCAGGAGGAACAUCAGUGGCGAAGGCGGCCACCUGGACCGGUAUUGACGCUGAGGCGCGAAAGCGUGGGGAGCAAACAGG
rnacentral:rRNA from 1 species